rnacentral:rRNA from 1 species
ACUCUAUUUUUGUAUAUCUUUUUUUUUUAUUUUUUUUUAUUUGUUGUUUUUUGUAAAAUAUUUCAAAUUAUAUUGUGUUAUUUUUAAAAUAUUGAAAAUUUGAUUGUUGAACUGGAUUAGUACCCAGGUAAUCAAAAUUUAUUAAUUCGGGAGUAAAUUUGUAUUUAAACCGUAAAAAUAUUGGCUGACUUUAAAUUUUUCUUUGGAACAUGUGUUUGGAGAGCCCUCUUUUUUAGUAAAAUUUGUUGGUACAUGUAUGAUUGUUUAGUUUUUUAUUAUAUCUUGUAAUACUUUUUUAAUUAAAUUAAAAAACAGAUAUAUAUUUGGCUUAUAAUUUUAUUUUUCAUGUGUUACUAUUAUUAAUUUUUUUGGAUAAAUUUUUAAUUUUUUUUUGAAAUUGGAAAAGAAAGUAAUUUUUUUUUAAUAUAGUAAUGAAUUUAAAUAAUUAAAGGGGUACAAA